GGCCAGGUAGCUCAGUUGGUUAGAGCAUUGUCCUGAUAUGUCAAGGUUGAGGUUUCAAUUCCUGGUCA
rfam:Myotis davidii contig10253, whole genome shotgun sequence.